rnacentral:rRNA from 1 species
CAGUAGCCGGGUAAUACGUAGGGUGCAAGCGUUAAUCGGAAUUACUGGGCGUAAAGGGCGCGUAGGCGGCACGAUUAGUCAGGCGUGAAAUUCCUGGGCUCAACCUGGGGACUGCGCUUGAUACGGUCGAGCUAGAGGAUGGAAGAGGGUCGUGGAAUUCCCAGUGUAGAGGUGAAAUUCGUAGAUAUUGGGAAGAACACCGGUGGCGAAGGCGGCGACCUGGUCCAUUACUGACGCUGAGGCGCGACAGCGUGGGGAGCAAACAGGAUUAGAUACCCCCGUAGUCCCUGUCUCUUAUACA